UGGUGCCAGCAGCCGCGGUAAUUCCAGCUCCAAUAGCGUAUAUUAAAGUUGUUGCAGUUAAAAAGCUCGUAGUUGAAUUUCGGGAUUAGUACGUCGGUCGUGCCUUAGGUACGUACUGGUGUUACUGGUUCCUACCUUCUGACGAACCAUCAUGUCAUUAAUUUGGUGUGGUGGGGAAUCAGGACUGUUACUUUGAAAAAAUUAGAGUGUUUAAAGCAGGCUCGCGCUUGAAUACAUUAGCAUGGAAUAAUGAAAUAGGACGUUGAUCCUAUUUUGUUGGUUUCUAGGAUUGACGUAAUGAUUAAUAGGGAUAGUUGGGGGCAUUAGUAUUCAAUUGUCAGAGGUGAAAUUCUUGGAUUUAUUGAAGACUAACUACUGCGAAAGCAUUUGCCAAGGAUGUUUUCAUUAAUCAAGAACGAAAGUUAGGGGAUCGAAGACGAUCAGAUACCGUCGUAGUCUUAACCAUAAACUAUGCCGACUAGGGA
rnacentral:rRNA from 1 species